rnacentral:rRNA from 1 species
UACGAAGGGGGCGAGCGUUGUUCGGAUUUACUGGGCGUAAAGGGCGCGCAGGCGGUUCUGUUUGUCGAGUGUGAAAGCCCCGGGCUCAACCUGGGAACUGCGCUCGAAACGGCGGAACUAGAGUUCGGGAGAGGAGAGUGGAAUUCCCAGUGUAGAGGUGAAAUUCGUAGAUAUCGAGAAGAACACCGGUGGCGAAGGCGGCCAACUGGACGGUGACUGACACUGAGACGCGAAAGCGUGGGGAGCAAACAGG